rnacentral:rRNA from 1 species
UACGUAGGGUGCGAGCGUUAAUCGGAAUUAUUGGGCGUAAAGGGUGCGUAGGCGGUUUGGUAAGUCUUAUGUGAAAUCUACAGGCUCAACUUGUAGUCUGCAUGAGAAACUGCCGGGCUUGAGUAUGGGAGAGGUGAGUGGAAUUCCUGGUGUAGCGGUGAAAUGCGUAGAUAUCAGGAGGAACACCUGUGGCGAAAGCGGCUCACUGGACCAUAACUGACGCUGAUGCACGAAAGCUAGGGGAGCAAACAGG